UAUAAAAUCAAAAGGCAAAAAUAGAAGUUUUUUUUAAAUGAUUUUGUUUUUUGGGGGCAAAACAUCUCUAGGUCCUUUAGCCCAUCCUUGUAUCAUUUGGUCUUCACACUCAUCACCAGCCUAGUCACCCUCCUCUGGAUGUACUCCAACUUGUCAGUGUUCUUUGAAAAGUAUGACAUGUAGAGCUAGACCCAACCCUUGAAGUACAUUACCCUGGAUCUAGAUAGUACUGGAGUACUACAGUACCAGAGUCACCCAUUCCUAGAGACAACAUUCUCUCUGUCACUAUUCUCUCUUUCCUCAAUGCAUUUCUUCAACACAACUCAAGAUAACAUCAUUUCUUUUGGCUGCUAUGUCUGUCUUAGGUGAAAUGACAUUCUCCCAGCUCAUUCCACAGGAACAGUAUCCUCACUUGAAUACCCCAAAAGGGAGCCCAUUUUACAGAGGAGAAAACCAAGACUUAAAGAGGGGAAGUUACUUGCUCCUGUCUAUAAACUCCUGAUGCAUUGACCAAACGUAGAUGGUGGAAGAACCAGAGGAAGCCUUCUCGCAUGCUGGAUGGAUCUUCUGUUGAAGGUUUAUAGGAAGACAUUAUCAAUACUCUUUGACUCCGAGAUCCCAUUGCUAGACAUAUACCACAAAGAUGUUGUGGCAGAAAUGACAUCUGUCCUGUAGGCUGGGGUGGAUUCCCUUUGUAAAUGAGGAGGGAGUGUCAAGUAAUUAAUUGUUCUUUCCACCAAUAAGGAAAGCCUUAGGCAAAUGCCAAGCUUAAGUCUCAGUCACAACUUUAAGGAGGAAAAGAGUCAGUCUUUGGGAUGUGGCUUUUCCAUAAGACUAUGGGUAUAAAAAGUCUAACCUAAAUUCAAUGAUCCCAGACAAUCCCAAAAGACCAAUGAUGAAGCAUGCUCUCUGACUCUAGAGAAAGAACUUAUAUUGU